AACCCCUGACAAUGGGCAAAGAGGCACCUUGGUGAUGGUGGUGUUUUUUAAUAUCAGUCAAGGGCAAAGCAUAUGGCAACCCUUUGUUCAUCCUAGCUUGAUGCCUGGCUUAGUGGACAAUGCUAUCUUAUGCCUAGGACUCAUAA